rnacentral:rRNA from 1 species
AGGCUACACAUGCAGUCGAGCGGGCGUAGCAAUACGUCAGCGGCAGACGGGUGAGUAACGCGUGGGAACGUACCUUUUGGUUCGGAACAACCCAGGGAAACUUGGGCUAAUACCGGAUAAGCCCUUACGGGGAAAGAUUUAUCGCCGAAAGAUCGGCCCGCGUCUGAUUAGCUAGUUGGUAGGGUAAUGGCCUACCAAGGCGACGAUCAGUAGCUGGUCUGAGAGGAUGAUCAGCCACAUUGGGACUGAGACACGGCCCAAACUCCUACGGGAGGCAGCAGUGGGGAAUAUUGGACAAUGGGCGCAAGCCUGAUCCAGCCAUGCCGCGUGAGUGAUGAAGGCCCUAGGGUUGUAAAGCUCUUUUGUGCGGGAAGAUAAUGACGGUACCGCAAGAAUAAGCCCCGGCUAACUUCGUGCCAGCAGCCGCGGUAAUACGAAGGGGGCUAGCGUUGCUCGGAAUCACUGGGCGUAAAGGGUGCGUAGGCGGGUCUUUAAGUCAGGGGUGAAAUCCUGGAGCUCAACUCCAGAACUGCCUUUGAUACUGAAGAUCUUGAGUCCGGGAGAGGUGAGUGGAACUGCGAGUGUAGAGGUGAAAUUCGUAGAUAUUCGCAAGAACACCAGUGGCGAAGGCGGCUCACUGGCCCGGUACUGACGCUGAGGCACGAAAGCGUGGGGAGCAAACAGGAUUAGAUACCCUGGUAGUCCACGCCGUAUACGAUGAAUGCCAGCCGUUAGUGGGUUUACUCACUAGUGGCGCAGCUCACGCUUUAUGCAUUCCGUCUGGGGAGGACGGUCGUGCGAUUAUAACUCAAAGGAAUUGACGGGGGCCCGCACAACCGCCGGAGCAUGUGGUUUAAUUCUUCGCAGCUCGCAGGACCAUUCCUGCCCUUGACUUGUCGAGUACCGACCGCACAAAAAAGACCCGCUCUUCGCAUCUUGGACCGCAGGUGCUGCAUGACUGGCCUCGCCUCAUGUCGUGGAACGUAGGGUUAGGUCC